rnacentral:lncRNA from 1 species
CCAUUCUCCUGCCUCAGCCUCCCGAGUAGCUGGGACUACAGGCGCCCGCCACUGCGCCCGGCUAAUUUUUUGUAUUUUUAGUAGAGAGGGGGUUUCACCGUGGUCUCGAUCUCCUGACCUCGUGAUCCGCCCGCCUCAGCCUCCCAAAGUGCUGGGAUUACAGGCGUGAGCCACCGCGCCCGGCCAGUUCAAUGGAUUUUAAAAAUUAUUAUUCUCUAGAAAAAAGACCACGAACUUUGGAGUGGACAUCCUGAGACCUGCCUACGAAGACCAUUAGGGUAAAGAAGUCACCCCUUCACCCCAGGACCAGGAAGCCUCCAGGAUGGCAUAAGCGACCAAACAGCUGGGAGCCAAGCACAGUGCAGGGGGCUUGGGGUCGGCGGCCGGAGGCUGGGUGGCCUCCAGAAGACACUCCCCUGAUUCCUACACCGAGGGAACACACAGCAGCAAGCUAGGAAAGAAGGGGUGACCCAGCCCAACGCUGUAAACCAGGGCGCGAACCGGCGUUGAGCUGUGCAGCUGCGCCCUGGGCUCCAGUCCUGCUCUGCCGCAGACCCCACCGGAGCCAGCACCUGCCUCCCCGACCCU